GAAGGUGGGGCUGAUGACUGGGGUGAAGUCGUAACAAGGUAGCCGUACCGGAAGGUGCGGCUGGAUCACCUCCUAA
rnacentral:rRNA from 1 species